rnacentral:rRNA from 1 species
AUUGAACGCUGGCGGCAUGCUUUACACAUGCAAGCCGAACGGUAACAGGCCGCAAGGUGCUGACGAGUGGCGAACGGGUGAGUAAUGCAUCGGAACGUGCCCAGUCGUGGGGGAUAACGCAGCGAAAGCUGUGCUAAUACCGCAUACGAUCUAUGGAUGAAAGCGGGGGACCGUAAGGCCUCGCGCGAUUGGAGCGGCCGAUGUCAGAUUAGCUAGUUGGUGGGGUAAAGGCCCACCAAGGCGACGAUCUGUAGCUGGUCUGAGAGGACGACCAGCCACACUGGGACUGAGGCACGGCCCGGACUCCUACGGGAGGCAGCAGUGGGGAAUUUUGGACAAUGGGCGCAAGCCUGAUCCAGCAAGGCCGCGUUCAGGAAGAAGGCCUUAGGGUUGUAAACUGCUUUUGUACGGAACGAAACGGUCUGGGUUAAUACCCUGGGCUAAUGACGGUACCGUAAGAAUAAGCACCGGCUAACUACGUGCCAGCCGCCGCAGUAAAAC